GGAUAUUUAAGUGCCUAUUUUUUGUUUAUUUUCGUAGUAUUAAUCGCUUAUUUAUUUUAUUUCAGGAAAUUGUAGAUAAAUAAAGAAAGAAGAGAAAAUGCAAGAAAAAGAAGAAAAUGAAAAGAAAAGAAGAAAAAAAAGGAAUUGGCAAGUAAGGGACACAUGGAGGGCCACAAUCUUCCCAACACACAAGGCACAUGGAUGGUCAAGAUUGAGCCACCCUACCCCUAAACCCUAAUUCUUUAGUUAUAAAUACCCCUCUUCUUUUACUUGUAAUCACCAACCUACCAACCUAGCAACCUAGCCACCUACCCAACUUUUCUACCUAGUCAUUUCUAUAGUUAGUAUCUUAGAUAGAUUUACAUUUUGCUAGCCCCAAUUUCCUUUCCAAGCGUGUAUACACUUUUUAAUUUCUAUGCAAAUCUCUUUUAGCUUCAUCUUGUAUUGUCUUUUUAAUUUAUUUUCUCCAAGUAGUAUGAUUCUUCUAAGUACCACCACAUGCUUUUAAGCUUUUGGGAAAUGAAGAAUCAUUGAGCUUGUGAUUAGUGUAGAUCUCUUACUUUUUAGAUUUAAUUUUUAGUAGAAAUUUGAGCUCUAGCACAAAAGAUGAUUUGUGUAGGGGCUUAAGCUUUAUAUUUCCAGAUUUCAACCUUGUUAAUUCGGCACUUGUUUUGUUUAUUAGCAUCUCUUUGUCUUUCUUAUCAAUACUAUGCUUAUCUUAGUUUUUGUUAAAACAAAUGCACAGGACUUGUUUCUCGUUUUCUUAAAAUAACCACUGUUCCCCUGUUCUUCCUUUAUACAAACACAUCUCCUUGGUAUUUAGUUUAAACACAAAACCCCAAAGCUCCGUUUUCUUCAUUUCACCGAGUCACACUGCCGAGUUAUGUGUUCGUAUUUUGUUAAGUUGCUGCGUUUUCUUUCCCUUAUCCGAGUUUUGUCCGAGUUCGCUGAGUAGUAGUACUGAGUCGAAAACCCCUGUUCCAAGUUUGUAUGUCAAGUCGAUUGAGUCAUGGCUGUAGUUUUUGUUGUUGAAUGCUGUUAUUGAGUUCUCGUUUUGCCCUGCGAUUGCGUUUCUUUCGGUUCCUUGACUGCGAGCCCGAGUCUGAGUAUCUUUGCUCUGUUUUGGCUGCAUUUCAAUCGAGUCCAGUACCGAGUUUGAGUUCUGAGAUGUUUGGGUUUCGUUAUUUUGUUUAGUCCGCUCGGUGUUAACUGAGUUUUGUUUCUUCUUGGCUGCGUCUGUUUUGAAUACACUGAGUUUGGGUCCUGGUUUAGUCGAGUUGUUGAGUGUUGUUGAUGGGUUUGAAAUCAAGUCAUAGCUGUUCUUUUCGGAGUUUAGUUGCAGAUUAUUUACUGGUUUUAUGAUUUGGAUGUUGAGUUUUGUAAACAGAGUAGUGAGUAGUGUUUGUUGCGUUUUUUUUGGAUUUUGUCGAGUUGUCUUGAAGUCCUGCUGCAGUGUCCAAUUAGUUUUUGAUUGUUUGUAAGUAUGUUUUACUGGCUUUUGAUUAUAGUCCAGGUCCUUGUUCAUUUUUUUUUUGCUUAAAUUUCCAAGUUUAUAAGCUGGUCUGAGUUAUGCUGAGUCGAGGUUUAGUUUUGAAUUAUGCUGGGUUUUGUUCUGUCGUUGUCCAAGCUGCUAUAUAGUUUGUAAUCACUGUCUGGGUUCCUUUAGAGUUUAUUUUGUUAGUUAAGUCGUAGUGUUAGUUUCAUUCGAGUUGUUUUCUGUUCACCGAGUCACUUUAUUCACUGGUAGUUUUUGAAAUGGUGGAUAGUUUAUUGUUUUAAAGUAAACUUUGUUUUAACAUUCUUGUUUUCGGAGUCAUGCAUUCAGUCGAGUUACUAGUGGUACUAGUUAAUUUUCAUUUGCUGAACAAGUUAAUUAGUUAAGUUUUGAUUAGUAAUAAUUAAUUAGAUUAGCUUACAAUGAAAUCUUAGAGUUAAAUUUAGAAACCCCUUUUUCUCAAAAUAUUUUGUUCUUUUCCGCCUAGAUUAAUUAAUUAAGGAUUUGCGAAAAAUAAUUUUAAUCUCUGUGGAUCGAAUCAUAAAUAUUAAAACGGUGAUCGUGCGCUUGCGAUUUAAAAGGUAAUCAUUUCGAGCACAUCAAGUUUUUGGCGCCGCUGCCGGGGAUUAAAAUUAAUUUUUUUCGCUCCUUUAUUUUUAAUCUUUCGGAUUAGUUUGUUUCUCACUAUUUUUUGUUCUUUAUUUCGAGGAGGAGUAUUCGGGAAUCAUGGAGUAAAGUGAACAAAUUUUGCUCGGAUUUGGAAGCUUGCUUUGGAAAUUGUAGAUAAAUAAAGAAAGAAGAGAAAAUGCAAGAAAAAGAAGAAAAUGAAAAGAAAAGAAGAAAAAAAAGGAAUUGGCAAGUAAGGGACACAUGGAGGGCCACAAUCUUCCCAACACACAAGGCACAUGGAUGGUCAAGAUUGAGCCACCCUACCCCUAAACCCUAAUUCUUUAGUUAUAAAUACCCCUCUUCUUUUACUUGUAAUCACCAACCUACCAACCUAGCAACCUAGCCACCUACCCAACUUUUCUACCUAGUCAUUUCUAUAGUUAGUAUCUUAGAUAGAUUUACAUUUUGCUAGCCCCAAUUUCCUUUCCAAGCGUGUAUACACUUUUUAAUUUCUAUGCAAAUCUCUUUUAGCUUCA